rnacentral:rRNA from 1 species
GUAAUGCUUUGGAAUCUUCCCAGUAGUGGGGAACAACCAGUCGAAAGAUUGGCUAAUACCGCAUACGUCUGCGAAGAGAAAGCGGGGGAUCGUAAGACCUCGCGCUAUUGGAUGAGCCAAAGUCGGAUUAGCUAGUUGGUGAGGUAAUGGCUCACCAAGGCGACAAUCCGUAGCUGGUCUGAGAGGACGACCAGCCACACCGGAACUGAGACACGGUCCGGACUCCUACGGGAGGCAGCAGUGGGGAAUAUUGGACAAUGGGGGAAACCCUGACGCAGCAACGCCGCGUGGAGGAUGAAGCCCCUUGGGGUGUAAACUCCUUUCGACCGGGAAAAUAAUGAUGGUACCUAUAGAAGAAGCCCCGGCUAACUUCGUGCCAGCAGCCGCGGUAAUACGAGGGGGGCAAGCGUUGUUCGGAAUUAUUGGGCGUAAAGGGUGCGUAGGACGGUUUGAUAAGUCUUGUGUGAAAUCUAUGGGCUCAACCAUAGUCUGCAUAGGAAACUGUCGGGCUUGAGUAUGGGAGAGGU